CAGGUAGAGAAAACAGUCAGACAGGACACAGAUAGCACCUUGUCGGCUUCUUGAAGUCUGCUUUAAACCGUUUGGUUGCUUGAGUCGAGCUGUGCUAAGGGAGUCGUUGGGACAUUAAAGGAACAAAUUAGGAGUGGGACUCGAGGCUCCAGGGAGGGCUGUGGUGGCAUUGCAUCACUGAUAAGCAGACAGUCAUUCAGCUCAGGCCUGUGAUAACGUGCCAGAGCCCAGGAUUUCAACAGCGAGCCUGAAACCCUGGAGCCACAGAGCAGGACAGGCCCAGUCUCGCUCAGACUCCGACUCCAACUCAAGAAAAGGGGAGAGGCCGUCAUCCAGUUGCAGCUGCAUUCAAACGCCACCCCCCCUCAACCUCGGAGGCUUCCUCAUAAAUCACACCGUCUCAGUGGAGACGCACUCUGCACCAGGUGCCUCCAUUCUGUGCCUUAAUAGUAAAGCUUAAGGCUCUCCUUAAUGUAACUUUCACUCAGUGGUCCUACAAAGAAUAUACAAAGCUGUGUAUUUUUUGGUCAUGUAAAUUGUACAUGUGUGUGUGUUUCACCUCAGACAUCAACUGCAAGAAUAUUCCAUGUGUUCUAUCCUUCAUUCCACCGGAGUCUGUAUCCACUGUCAGCCAGAUUUCAGUGGUGUGAAGUGUAUGAGACAUGGGGAUAUGGCUUCACACGCUACACGCCGCUUUACGCACAUAAUAAGUCAGACAAGUCAACCUUGUACUUUCAAUGAUGGAAACUUUUUUAUUGUUUAUCCGUGCUUCUGUGCUUCGUUUUUUUUCUUGUGAUCUACAGAUGAAAAACGAUUUGUAUCUGUAAGGACAUGCUGUGAUGUGAAUAAAUAUUGUGACCUUGUGAAUAAAUAUUGCGACCUUGUGCCCA